UACGAAGGGUCCAAGCGUUAUCCGGAUUUAUUGGGUUUAAAGGGUGCGUAGGCGGUUUGUUAAGUCAGUGGUGAAAGCCCGGAGCUCAACUCCGGAACUGCCAUUGAUACUGGCGAACUUGAAUAUAGUUGAGGUAGGCGGAAUAUGACAUGUAGCGGUGAAAUGCUUAGAUAUGUCAUAGAACACCGAUUGCGAAGGCAGCUUGCUAAACUAUUAUUGACGCUGAGGCACUAAAGCGUGGGGAUCAAACAGG
rnacentral:rRNA from 1 species